rnacentral:rRNA from 1 species
CCUACGGGUGGCUGCAGUGAGGAAUAUUGGUCAAUGGGCGGGAGCCUGAACGAGCCAAGUCGCGUGAAGGAAGAAGGUACUUAGUAUUUUAAACUUCUUUUGUCGGGGAACAAAGGCGUAGACGCGUCUCCGGAUUAGUGUACCCGAAGAAACAGCAUCGGCUCACUCCGUGCCAGCAGCCCCGGUAAUACGGGGGAUGCGAGCGGUAUCCGGAUUUAUUUGGUUUAAAGGGUGCGCAGGCGGGAGAUUAAGUCAGCGGUAAAAUGUCGGGGCUCAACCCAGGCCGGCCGUGGAAACUGGUUUUCUAGAGUGGGAGAGAAGUAUGCGGAAUUCGUGGUGUAGCGGUGAAAUGCGUAGAUAUCACGAAGAACUCCGAUGGCGAAGGCAGCAUACCGGCUCCAUACUGACGCUGAGGCACGAAAGCGUGGGGAUCGAACAGGAUUAGAUACCCCAGUAGUC